AAUCAGGAGGAAAUUUUAUAUAACACUGCAAGUAAUAAAUUAUGCAUAGCAAGACUAAAUCCAGAAUAAGUAUACUGUGAAACAAAAUACAUUAGAAUAGUUGAAGAAAUAAUUAAUUACAGAGUUAGGAUAUAAACAGUAAUGCAUCUCAGGCAGAAGCGAACAACGAAACUGAAGGAAAGAUAAUUGUGGGCUGAGUUUGUUCAAGAGAAACAACAUUUACAGGUGGGAAAAUGCAUCUGAUCUUAGAGAAUGACAAUUUAAGUACUUGCAAAGAACCAGCACAAGCUUUAUGCAUGUUAAAUCCCACCAAAGAGUAGGACAUUAGAGAUACUGCUUGCAUGUAUGGCUUGAGGUCUGAACAGAAAUGCAUUCUACUGAGUGAACAAGCUCCCUCUAUGUCUUCCUGAUACCCCAAUUGCAAUUCCACAGCCACUCAAGCAAAGGAUGCUUUCACAAACAGCAAAUUGGAAUAAUUUCCUGAAAUCUUGAAGUGGUAGAAUUUUGUAAAAUACAUAAGCCUGUAACUAUGUGGAAAUUUUCUAAGACAGGUAAGUUGCAAAACUGUGCUAGGGAGGCAUUACCCAGUCUUAGAGUAAGUAAAACCACCACAUCUGGUAAACUGUAAGUUGACAGCAGAAAACCUGGGUAUAAAAUCAUACUCUAUAUUCAUCUUGGCAUCACAAGUUAACUGACACCUGCAUUAAUUACUGUUGUGAACUCUUAAGCUUUUCUGCACCACACCAAAUUCCCUUGCACUUCCAAUAUGUACCCAAACACAACACGUAACCAGUUAACUUACCGUUCUGACUAAAAACUCAACCUUAACUACAUAACAUUCUCUAUAAACACAUUUACAGAUACAAUGUUAUUCUGCAUAUAGGAAACUACGAAGCAGGAAUCAUAUUUCUACAUGUGACUUGAAAUGAAAAAUAAAAAGUGUGGGCAUCUCUUCUGGUUAAAUGUAAAAGUGCAAAGGAGAUGGCUGUGGAACCAGAGAGUGAAUACAUUUGUGUGAUUUGGUAUUAAGAAGGUUCUCCAAGUUUUAAGCAUGUGAAGGAAUUCAUGCUUCAUCUUAAUGGAUACUUCACUUCUGAUUCACAGCUUCAUCCAAAUCACACAUCUUAUCAAGAACAAAGGUGUCAGGUUGAUGUGACUUUGCAAGGCAUUACAGCAGAGAUACAAAGUUGUGUUUAGGUGGAAGCCUACACAUGACUGUUAGUGAUGCUCUUACAGCUGUUCAUAUACUUAAUGAAAGCUAAAUGAGAAAAGUCAGUCUGGGAGGCACCUAGUAACAAAAGAAUAGUAGAGCUUGUAAGAGUCCACCUAAACAUUUUCCAGAUCAUCUCUACAAGUAGCACUGUCUUCAUUAAGGAAGGGAGAUGUUCUUUCCUUCUUCAAGCCUCUUCCAGAAAACAACUAGUUGCAGUAAGUCUUUUUACUGGAAGUUAUUUACUGCAUUGAGUUUAAUAUCACAAAUUUAAAGACUGUCACCUAGAAGUUUACAUAUGGUAGAAAGAUUUGCUCUUUGGAUAUUUUUGAUGAAGAAAUACUUCUUUUCCACAAGCACAAACUGCAGACUGCUGUAGUACUUCUGAAGUUAGUUGUCAGAAUUACCCAAACACAAAGAAAUUAAAUGCAAAGCACCAAGGGCCAUUAGGUGAGCAAUAGUUAAGAGUAAAAAAACCCCAACUUUAAUUUGCUUUUGCUGUCUCACAAAAGAGUGAAGAACAGGUCUGAAACUUGGCACAGUGGCUUAAAAUGGCCUGUAAUGGCUUGAUCCAACCCACUGACCACCCAUAAAGGAAAUGAUGCCAACCUCUUUCUACCAGCCCUAGCUGUGUAUUUUCUUUUCUGCUGGCUCAGGUGGCAUUUGACCAACCGUGCAUUGAGCAAAUUCAGCAUGCUAAAUGCAGCACUAAUCAAUUCUGGUAGGUAAGAGAAUUAUCUUUAAGCUUUCAGGGAAAAAUAAUAUCGAUAGAUAACUGGAUAUGAAAAAUAGAAAUAGAUUAGAUCCCCUUUAAAGUUUGCAAUACUUAGUGAGAAGAGCUUUCACAGAAAUUGAGCAAUAACCUUAACUGUGGCACACUGCAAGAAACUGAAAUGAAUGUACAUUUUAAAAAGUGAAUUAAUCACAGUUUAUGGGGAGGUCACAUUUCUGCUAUUCACAUUGAGAGGACAAAGCUUUAAGUUUGAAAUGAGCUUUAUGAAUGUAUUUUCCGUAUAAUCUAAUUUUUAAGUACAAGUUUGAUAUGUUCUGGAUAUGGUAAGCUAAUUCAAGGAGACAACUAAAGAUACGAGCACAAGUCACAAAAGUUCUACCAAAAUCUAUAGAAAGAAAGGCAGUGCAUCCCAGAAGAAUAGUAAAGUGAGCCUCGGAUUCUUUGGCUCCUUGUUUUAAUUUGUUCUGCAUUGACAUAAAUAACGUCCUCUUACCUUUAUGAAGAUGCCACAGCAGGUGGCAUCUUCAUAAAAAUAAAACCAAGGAACCCAGAGUAAAUUUUUAGCAGCACAAAUAAAAUCUAUCAUGAAUCUAGACAGCAUUAACAAAAUCCAAGCCCAAAUAUACUUAUUACAGCCAUUUUUCUUUUUCAAAAUUUAUUUUGUAUUUCCGGGAUCUGUUUUUAUGGUUAAACUUAGAAUAUAACUUUAUAUCCCCAUCACUAACAUAAAUCAAACAUCAUCGAUGUCCUUAAAUAUUCUAAAAGGCUCUUAGUGGAUACUAAGUAUUUUAGAUAAAGCAUCAGAGAAAUGUAGAUCUGGAAGGGAUUUCAAAGGAUCACCGAAGCCCAUCUCUACAGUCCAUCCCUAUGAGAUGUUUCAUAAACCUCUUCUUAGAACUUCUAUAAUGGAAAUUUAACAACUCCCAUGGGAAGCAUAUUUUAGUGUAUCACUACCCUUAUAGUUGGGAAGUUUUUCUGAUCUGUCUUUGCUACAAAUACAGGUUACUUAUGAGGAUGUUAAGAGAAACUCCCCAAUUAUAAUGAUCAUGAAGUAUCUCCAAGGCUAUCUAGAGAAGACACUACAAUUUUCAAAGACAUUCUGGUGUUUGAUACACAUGCAAUUAUUGUUUUACCUCAUCUUCCUCUCAUCCCCUCAGUUAUAAAAAUGAAAUCAGAAUUUCUUUACUGAGAUUACCUUUAAAUUCUUACAUUGACGGGACACAGAUGUAAAGCUGGAUUAUGUGGUAUAUCUUCAUAUUAGCAGUUAAAGGCAAGAAAAAAAAAAAAAAAAAA
ensembl:lncRNA